ensembl:lncRNA
AAGUGAGCCAAUUUAGCCUUGGCAGAUUUGCUCUGUCAGAGGUCACCGAGAAGCUGAUUUACUAAAGACACUUGCUUUUUCUUGGCCUUGUGGUCAAAAUCAAGUCCCUCAGUGACACUUUACUUGCUGUUUGUCUUGCUGUUCUUUUAUGAGGGAAACCACUAUGCUUCCGAGAGGAGGUGUCAGAGUCUCAGUCCAACUCUCGUUUUUUGGUGCUUGUUUUCUCCAAUAUUGAGACUGCCACAGAAAGCAGAACCUCCUGUUCCCCGCCUCACCUUUAUCAGCGCCUUUGAAACAAUGUUAGGACUCAUCUACUUGAAGAAACAAAAUUGCGACCACUGGAUUUCUGCUCUGGGAUCUUCUAUAACAUUGGAGCUCCUAUUCCACCCUGGAGACCAGUCCGAGCUUUGUAGAUGAAGCUUGUAGUGCUGAGGAUAAGGAGUACAGAACUGGAAGCUCAGAACUCAGCCCUGCUCACAGCUGAGGUGAGUGCACACAGGGCAGUUGGAUCUGAAUAGAGCUCUGGUAAUGAAAGAGUCGCAAAGAUAUAUGAUUCUGGGGUGUAGAUGUCAUUGCUCCCACAGCCUGAGUACAUCUACACCUUCAGUCGUGCAACUAAGGUGACGUGCAGGGAAUUUUAUUCCUGUACUCCCCAGUGUUGGGGCUCCCAACAGGAUUUCCUUGCUAAACAAUGUCAAACUGAGGCAGGCAUGGGAUGAAAGUCCUCACAGAAGCAUGUGAGGUGGUGCCAAAUGUUUUACAGGUGAUGGUGUUGUUGUUUGUGAGCAAGAGCGGAGGUGGUGCUGGGAAGGGUGUGAUGCUGUGCUGGCUCAGAUGAGCUAGGAAAACCAGGUCAUUAGGGAUGCUGGGCUGCUCUGUGUUCAAGAAGAGCUGUGUGUUUGGCAGCAUAAGGAAGGUUUCAAAGCUAAGCUGCAUGCACAGCUCCACAGCCUCGCCUGGACUUUCUUCUUAAAGAUCUGGAAGCUUCGUGCAAAGCAUCAUUUUUCAAAGGAGUCAGGUACUUUCUCAGGAGGAUCCAGUUAUUUGGUUUUUAGGCAUUUCUGAAGAGAAAGAUAGAGCUGUGCAAA